GUAGUACUCCCUCUGUCCGGAAAUACUUGUCAUCAAAAUGAAUAAAAGGGGAUGUAUCUAGAUGUAUAUUAGUUCUAGAUACAUCUUUUUUAUCCAUUUUGAUGACAAGUAUUUUUGGACGGAGGGAGUACUUG
rnacentral:pre_miRNA from 1 species